AUACCGGACUCUACGAGGCUCGGUAAUUGAAAUGAGUACAGUUUAAAACCUUUAACGAGGAUCUAUUGGAGGGCAAGUCUGGUGCCAGCAGCCGCGGUAAUUCCAGCUCCAAUAGCGUAUAUUAAAGUUGUUGCAGUCAAAAAGCUCGUAGUUGGAUCUCGGGCGCCAGUUUGUGGUACGCUUGAUUGCUGUUACUACUUGUCUGGCCCUAAUCAACCGGUUCGCCGUUAAUGUCCUUUAUUGGGUGUUUUCGGUAGCCGGUACGUUUACUUUGAGAAAAUUAGAGUGCUUAAAGCAGGCCUUACGCCUGAAUAAUGUUGCAUGGAAUAAUAGAAUAGGACCUCGGUUUUAUUUUGUUGGUUUUGUAGAGCAUUGAGGUAAUGAUUAAUAGGGACAGACGGGGGCAUUCGUAUUGCGGUGUUAGAGGUGAAAUUCUUGGAUCGCCGCAAGACGAACAACUGCGAAAGCAUUUGCCAAGAAUGUUUACAUUAAUCAAGAACGAAAGUUGGAGGUUCGAAGACGAUUAGAUACCGUCCUAGUUCCAACUGUAAACGAUGCCAACUAACAAUCCGUCGCACUUAAUUAAACGAGUCGGCGGGCGGUUUCCGGGAAACCAAAGUCUUUGGGUUCCGGGGGAAGUAUGGUUGCAAAGCUGAAACUUAAAGGAAUUGACGGAAGGGCACCACCAGGAGUGGAGCCUGCGGCUUAAUUUGACCCAACACGGGAAAACUCACCCGGCCCGGACACUGUAAGGAUUGACAGAUUGAGAGCUCUUUCUUGAUUCGGUGGGUGGUGGUGCAUGGCCGUUCUUAGUUGGUGGAGCGAUUUGUCUGGUUAAUUCCGAUAACGAACGAGACUCUAGCCUGCUAAAUAGUACGCCGAUCUUUAGUCGGCGCGUACUUCUUAGAGGGACAAGUAGCGGUAAGCUACACGAAAUUGAGCAAUAACAGGUCUGUGAUGCCCUUAGAUGUUCGGGGCCGCACGCGCGCUACACUGAAGGGAUAAGCGUGUACUUCCUGCUCCGAAAGGAGUGGGUAACCCGCUGAAACCCCUUCGUGAUUGGGAUCGGGGCUUGAAAUUUUUCUCCGUGAACGAGGAAUUCCCAGUAAGCGCGAGUCAUCAGCUCGCGUUGAUUACGUCCCCGCCCUUUGUACACACCGCCCGUCGCUACUACCGAUUGAAUGGUUUAGUGAGAUCCUCGGAUCGGUCCGGAGGUGGCUUCACGGUCGCCUCUAGGUGCUGAGAAGACGAUCAAACUUGAUCAUUUAGAGGAAGUAAAAGUC
rnacentral:rRNA from 1 species